rnacentral:rRNA from 1 species
CCUACGGGUGGCAGCAGUGGGGGAUAUUGCACAAUGGGGGAAACCCUGAUGCAGCGACGCCGCGUGUGGGACGACGGUCCUCUGGAUUGUAAACCACUGUCCCCAGGGACGAAGAUGACGGUACCUGGGGCGGAAGCUCCGGCUAACUACGUGCCAGCAGCCGCGGUAAUACGGAGGGAGCAAGCGUUGUCCGGAAUUACUGGGUGUAAAGGGAGCGUAGGCGGGAUGGAAAGUUGGGUGUUAAAUCUACCGGCUCAACUGGGAGUCGCACUCGAAACUGCUAUUCUUGAGUGAAGUAGAGGCAUGCGGAAUGCCUAGUGUAGCGGUGAAAUGCGUAGAUAUUAGGAGGAACACCAGUGGCGAAGGCGGCCUGCUGGGCGUUUACUGACGCUGAGGCUCGAAAGUGUGGGUAGCAAACAGGAUUAGAUACCCGAGUAGUC